rnacentral:rRNA from 1 species
UACAGAGGGUGCGAGCGUUGUCCGGAAUCACUGGGCGUAAAGGGCGCGUAGGUGGCGGGACAAGCGUGCGGUGAAAGCCUGGGGCUCAACCCCGGGUCGGCCGUGCGAACUGUUUUGCUUGAGCACUGUAGAGGCAGGCGGAAUUCCGGGUGUAGCGGUGAAAUGCGUAGAUAUCGGAAGGAACACCUGUGGCGAAAGCGGCUCACUGGACCAUUACUGACGCUGAGGCGCGAAAGCUAGGGGAGCAAACAGG